CCUACGGGAGGCAGCAGUGAGGAAUAUUGGUCAAUGGGCGGGAGCCUGAACCAGCCAAGUCGCGUGAGGGAAGACGGUCCUACGGAUUGUAAACCUCUUUUGCCGGGGAGCAACGGUGUCCUUGCGAGGGACCGAUGAGAGUACCCGGCGAAUAAGCAACGGCUAACUCCGUGCCAGCAACCGCGGUAAUACGGAGGAUGCGAGCGUUAUCCGGAUUUAGUGGUUGUAAAGAGUGCGCAGGCGGAAGAUCAAGUCAGCGGUAAAUUUGAGAGGCUCAACCUAAUCGAGCCGUUGAAACUGGUUUUCUUGAGUGAGCGAGAAGUAUGCGGAAUGCGUGGUGUAGCGGUGAAAUGCAUAGAUAUCACGCAGAACUCCGAUUGCGAAGGCAGCAUACCGGCGCUCAACUGACGCUCAUGCACGAAAGUGUGGGUAUCGAACAGGAUUAGAUACCCUAGUAGUC
rnacentral:rRNA from 1 species